CGCACACCAUCACAUCCUACAUAAUAUUUAGCUCUGAGGCGUUUCCAGAUGGGAAGUGCGUUUCUGUAUUUUCAUAGCCGUGUUCUCUACGUGAAUGGACUGGCAUGAAGCUGGGGGCUGACGGCUGGCAGGGCAGAACAACUUCCAGUAAAAGAAGGCACUGAGGAUUAAGUGCUAAGUGGGAGCAGUUGCCGAUUUUUGCAAUGGGAGGCUGCAUAGAUUCAAGUGUGAGGAUUUGAAGAGAUUCAAAGACUAUAUCACCACCACGGUCUUGCCAGUAUCUGCCCUCUGAGUCAUUUCUUAAUCUACUGAUAAUCUGUAGAACCAGCCUUAUAUAAACUAGGAGGCAUCUAGCAGGUGAG
rnacentral:antisense_RNA from 1 species